GCCGCUCCGAACGCCGGACCGCCCGUCGUUUUCACCAUCUGAGGACCAGAACAGUCAGCAAGAACCAACCAGGACCAGCUAAACUGUUAAACCUACCAUAUCCAGAGGUUUGAAGAUGUGGUGCACCAGCUCCUCGGACGAUGGACUGGCGAUGGUGGAUUUCAGCCGAGCCUGGAGGGAAAACCACAGCUGGUCGUUACACCUGGAGGCUCGGCAGCCGAUAAACGGAGGUUUGAGGCGUCGGCCGUCUGCUGCAGCUUCCCCAUGAACGACUCGAUGUCGUCGAAGCAGUGGUUCAGGAUCGCCUGAGUGUAGAAGUGAGGAAUGAAACGGGAGCGUACCACUUCUCUCUCGGCUCGCAGGAAGGAGACGUCCGGCCCGUUUGGUCCGUUUUCUG